UUUAACCUGUUCCUCACAUGUUGGCCAGAGUCCAAGGAAACCCAACCUAACAGAAAAACAUCUGGUUUCUAGUUUUUCAGAAAAACAGAGAGGAAGAGAUGGACUUAAACAACACCACUGUGACAAAUCCUUCAGAACAUCCGGACAGUCAAAGAAUCAUCGGAGAGUUCACACUGGAGAGAAACCAUACUGGUGUGAGCAGUGUGGGAAAGCUUUCACUCAGUUGGGUUGCCUAAAAAUUCACAUGCGCAUUCACACUGGAGAGAAAGCGUACCGGUGUGAACAGCGUGGGAAAACAUUUACUCACAGUAAAACCCUGAAACGGCACCAAUGCGGUCACGCUGCAUCGCUGUAAACAUUUUUCAGAGCCAAGCUAGCUCUUGCCUGCUGCCUCCUCCUCAUGCAACACAGUCUCACUCCCUACUAAAUGUCUGACGCAUGGUCAAGGGACCCUGGCGUCACUGUUUUGACGCACUGGGUAUACCUUCGGCUUCAUUUUUCAACGUGCGGGGCAGUCCAAUAGACUUCUAUAGAACUCAACAGCGUUGAAAUUUGACGUCUUGGGUCGAUCACCACACCGCAACCCGUUGUCUGCCUUGUGGGUCGAGACAACAAUAAAUAAAA